UCAACUUGAGAGUUUGAUCCUGGCUCAGAACGAACGCUGGCGGCAGGCUUAACACAUGCAAGUCGAACGCCCCGCAAGGGGAGUGGCAG
rnacentral:rRNA from 1 species